rnacentral:tRNA from 1 species
GCGAUUGUAGUCCAGCGGUUAGGACGGAUGCUUCCCAAGCCUCUGACUCGGGUUCGAAUCCCGGCAAUCGCACCA